CAGCGGAGCGUGUGGUUUAAUUCGAUGCUACACGAAGAACCUUACCUGGGUUUUGACAUAUAGGUUGUAGGGAACUGAAAAGGGACGACCCUUCGGGGAGCCUAUACAGGUGUUGCAUGGCUGUCGUCAGCUCGUGUCGUGAGAUGUUCGGUUAAGUCCGCUAACGAGCGCAACCCUCGUCGUAUGUUAUAUGUGUCAUACGAGACUGCCGGUAAAAAGCCGGAGGAAGGUGAGGAUGAUGUCAAGUCAGCAUGACCUUUAUAUCCAGGGCUACACACACGCUACAGUGGUCUGUACAAUGGGUAGCCAAGCCGCGAGGCGGAGCCAAUCCUGAAAGCAGGCCUCAGUUCAGAUUGCAGUCUGCAACUCGACUGCAUGAAGCCGGAGUUGCUAGUAACCGCAGGUCAGCAAUACUGCGGUGAAUACGUUCCCGGGUCUU
rnacentral:rRNA from 1 species